rnacentral:rRNA from 1 species
GUCCUUGAGAUAUCACCCUUGCCUUGCCUGAUGUCUAACCGCGGACCGUCAUCCGGUUCCGGGACCCUGUGUGGCGGGUAGUUUGACUGGGGCGGUCGCCUCCCAAAAAGUAACGGAGGCGCGCGAUGGUGGGCUCAGGUUGGUCGGAAAUCGAACCGUCGAGUGCAAUGGCAUAAGCCCGCCUGACUGCGAGACUGACAAGUCGAGCAGAGACGAAAGUCGGCCAUAGUGAUCCGGAUGGUCCCGCGUGGAAGGGCCAUCGCUCAACGGAUAAAAGGUACGCCGGGGAUAACAGGCUGAUACGUGCCCAAGAGUCCAUAUCGACGGCAGUGUUUGG